AAUAAAUGGUCGCGGCUGGCUGUGCCGAAAGGUGCCAGACGAGGAAAGUCCGGGCUUCACAGGGCAGGAUGCCGGAUAACGUCCGGUGGAGGUGACUCCCAGGAAAGUGCAACAGAAAUAAACCGCCGGCCUCUGGCCGGCAAGGGUGGAAAGGCAGUGUAAGAGACUACCGCCUCCCUGGUAACAGGAAGGGCACAUGUAAACCCCAUUCGAAGCAAGACCGCAACGAGACAUAUGGCGGCCCGUCAGUCUCAGGUAGGUCGCUUGAGCCUGCCGGUAACGGCAGGCCUGGAUAGAUGACCAUUCACGACAUAACCCGGCUUACAGUUCUGCUCA
rnacentral:RNase_P_RNA from 1 species